rnacentral:lncRNA from 1 species
GUUGGUAUUUUCAAAAAUAUACUCAUCAUUUUUUUUUUAUUCUUGGUUAUUCCAUAAAAUUAACCAAACACACUUUCAGCUAUUCUCAAAAAUAACACUUUAACUAACCAAACAUUUUUUUGUUUUAUUCCUGACUAUUCCAGAAUAACACCAUAACACUGGAAUUAAAUAUUUUAUCCCCUAAUUCGAUAUUCCCGAACCAAACGCAGCCUUAAAACUUUAUUUAUUGACUAAAAUAAAAAAGCCUUCCCUUAUAAAUAUCCAUAUUUUUUACUUUCUAAGAUUAAAUUUUCUUUACUUGUUAAAAAAAAAUAAUAAUUUUUUUAUGCAUUUCUAACAAUUUAA